rnacentral:rRNA from 1 species
GAUGAACGCUGGCGGCGUGCCUAAUACAUGCAAGUCGAGCGAACGGACGAGAAGCUUGCUUCUCUGAUGUUAGCGGCGGACGGGUGAGUAACACGUGGAUAACCUACCUAUAAGACUGGGAUAACUUCGGGAAACCGGAGCUAAUACCGGAUAAUAUUUUGAACCGCAUGGUUCAAAAGUGAAAGACGGUCUUGCUGUCACUUAUAGAUGGAUCCGCGCUGCAUUAGCUAGUUGGUAAGGUAACGGCUUACCAAGGCAACGAUGCAUAGCCGACCUGAGAGGGUGAUCGGCCACACUGGAACUGAGACACGGUCCAGACUCCUACGGGAGGCAGCAGUAGGGAAUCUUCCGCAAUGGGCGAAAGCCUGACGGAGCAACGCCGCGUGAGUGAUGAAGGUCUUCGGAUCGUAAAACUCUGUUAUUAGGGAAGAACAUAUGUGUAAGUAACUGUGCACAUCUUGACGGUACCUAAUCAGAAAGCCACGGCUAACUACGUGCCAGCAGCCGCGGUAAUACGUAGGUGGCAAGCGUUAUCCGGAAUUAUUGGGCGUAAAGCGCGCGUAGGCGGUUUUUUAAGUCUGAUGUGAAAGCCCACGGCUCAACCGUGGAGGGUCAUUGGAAACUGGAAAACUUGAGUGCAGAAGAGGAAAGUGGAAUUCCAUGUGUAGCGGUGAAAUGCGCAGAGAUAUGGAGGAACACCAGUGGCGAAGGCGACUUUCUGGUCUGUAACUGACGCUGAUGUGCGAAAGCGUGGGGAUCAAACAGGAUUAGAUACCCUGGUAGUCCACGCCGUAAACGAUGAGUGCUAAGUGUUAGGGGGUUUCCGCCCCUUAGUGCUGCAGCUAACGCAUUAAGCACUCCGCCUGGGGAGUACGACCGCAAGGUUGAAACUCAAAGGAAUUGACGGGGACCCGCACAAGCGGUGGAGCAUGUGGUUUAAUUCGAAGCAACGCGAAGAACCUUACCAAAUCUUGACAUCCUUUGACAACUCUAGAGAUAGAGCCUUCCCCUUCGGGGGACAAAGUGACAGGUGGUGCAUGGUUGUCGUCAGCUCGUGUCGUGAGAUGUUGGGUUAAGUCCCGCAACGAGCGCAACCCUUAAGCUUAGUUGCCAUCAUUAAGUUGGGCACUCUAAGUUGACUGCCGGUGACAAACCGGAGGAAGGUGGGGAUGACGUCAAAUCAUCAUGCCCCUUAUGAUUUGGGCUACACACGUGCUACAAUGGACAAUACAAAGGGCAGCGAAACCGCGAGGUCAAGCAAAUCCCAUAAAGUUGUUCUCAGUUCGGAUUGUAGUCUGCAACUCGACUACAUGAAGCUGGAGUCGCUAGUAAUCGUAGAUCAGCAUGCUACGGUGAAUACGUUCCCGGGUCU